rnacentral:lncRNA from 1 species
CCAUUUGACUGAACCAUAUUGCUAAGGGCCACAGUCAUGCCUUCCCCCCACCCCCUUGCAGGCCUCCAGCAGAAUGUCCCUCACUUGUGUGAAAUUCCUUCAGCUAGUGCACACAAAGGUGCAAUUUGUAAUCCAGUGUGCUGCCUAGUUUUUAUGUCAACCUGACACGAGCCAUCUGAGAGGAGGAAACCGUAAUUGAGAAAAUGUCUCCUUAGAUCAGCCUGUAGGCAAGCUUAUCAAUUAUGGGGCAUUUUAUCAAUUAGUGAUCGAUGGGUAGGACCAUCCAGAUUGAUGGACCUGGGUUCUAUAAGGAAGCAGACUGAGCAAGCCAGUAAGCAGCACCACUGCAUGGCCUCUGCAUCCGAUUCUGCACUGCCUCCUGCCUCCAGGUUCCUGCCCUGUUAUGAGUUAUGUCCUGACUUCCUUCUAUGAUGAACAGUGAUGUGGAAGUGUAUGCCAAAUAAACCCUAUCUCCUUCAAAUUGCUUUUGGUCACGGUGUUUUACCACAGUAAUAGAAACACAAAGUAAGAUACCCAGGAAUGGCUGCUACCAGUGAGCCAAGUCCCAGGAUGGGGGGCAGUGAGCUGUGCACAGACAACCUGAUCCCCGGUCAGUGGAGCACAGGCCUUGAACCCCACGGAAGGUGUUUGGCCACGCCUUCUGAGCCCCUGGUUCCUGUCACAGCUACAGCCUCACCCCUCUCCCCUGCAGAGAGGUGUGUGGCCAUCAGUCUUGUAGGCAGUGUCCCAAGCUCCUGGUAUUCAGUCUGGACUCCACCCCCACAGUUACCUGGCAACAGCCAGGAUGGCCCAGCCCACUAUAAAAGGAGUUGCUUGCCCUCUCCUUGCUCUCUUAUUCUCUUGUUUCUCUCUUGCCCUCUUCUUCCCCCUCUCCCCACUCCCUCCCCCCCCUUCUCUCCACAUGGCCAUGGCCGGCCUCUCCUCGCUCUUCUCUCUCUCUCUCUCUCUCUCUCUCUCUCUCUCUCUCUCUCUCUCUCUCUCUCUCUCUCUCUCUCUCUCUCUGCCUUUCUACAAUAAACGCCUUAAAAUUAUGGACUGCCUCUUCCCAUCUGAUUCCGCUGUGCUUGCGCCAUGGAGCAGGUCUUCCCCUAAUGAGCUGCGCGUCUAACCUGCCAGGAGGCCUCUGUGCUCCAUCCACGGCCACCAGCCAACCCAUGCAGCCUGCCCACCGAACAAGCCGCCUGAGCUAGCCUAGGACUCUUGUCCCCGAGGGAACCCAACCAGAGCUCUCUCCUCCUACGCUUUUCCCUUCGGCCCCCAGGCCAGAGUCCGCAUUCUCAGCUCUUCCGUGAUACAGCGACCUCUGUGGUGCCCCAGAGUUGGAGCCAGACUCUGGCAGGUUCUUGGGAACCUGAGCCUGCGCCUUCCUCACCCCCAGAGCGGGAUCCCAUGGCUUCUCACAGUCCAACGCCCGCACGGUGGUCCCUGCACUCCGCGUGUUCAUGUCGCCCAGUUACCGCCAGACAUGAAGUUUGCUGGCUCACGGAUUUGAGACAGCCUAGUCUGCAGAAUAAGGAGAAGAAAUUCCUGCUGUUUGUUACCCACCCAGCUCAUGACACGUUGCUAUUGUAACUGAGUGGACCAAGACACUGACUGCACGGGCACCUUGGACCCUUGAACUUCACCUAGCCAGUGUGACCUAAGCAAGGUCUCCAUUUCUCAGUCGUAAAUAAAAGGAGCUUAUUCAACCGUUGUCUCCACAGACUGAUGACCUGGGUCCUCACUCAGACUUGCUCUCAGCUCUGCCUCAUUCUGGUUUUUCCUGAAGACCCAUGGUUUACAGCUGGCUGGACACACAGAGAAUGCUGACCACCUGUGCCGGCCCCUUUCCCCUGCUCUUCCAAGAUGUUUUCAUUAACUGACCACCUGGGGUGGGGAGGCGCCUAGAGCUCCUCCCACUAGCAGCACCAGCAUCCUCCUUCAGCAGUUGCUUCUGAGUGAGGGAUGGGGAGGUGUGUUCCCCUUGACUGACUCUUCGCGACGCUGGCGCUCCCUGGACUGUGUGGGAAAGGCGGCUUCCUGUCUGAAUGCUCAGCCCGGAGGCAUUGCUCAUCCAUACCAACAGCGCUGGUGGCCACCCCUUCAGCUGUCCAGAUCUACCACCUACCAGAACCAACUCUUAGGGAAGUUCUUCAGCUGUGGUAGGAGUGGAAUUCUGUCUGUCUUUGGCUGUCAGACCAGAUGGAGAAAAGCAGCAGCCCUGGUCUCAGGUUAAGCGGCGAUUGUUCUUCACUCUUUGGAUUCUUCCUCUCUCUGUCUGAAGUUCCAGAGCAUCGGAGAGAAACAGAGAUGGUGCCGGUGGGGAGGGGUGGGAACCUAGAAACAGAUGACCACAAGCACACACUGAGCAUCUGUGUGCAGCACCCUGGCCUCCAGGACAGGCUGCUCCAAAUCACCCUUAGUUAGAGGUCCUCCCUCACUCACAGGAUGA